rfam:Triticum aestivum genome assembly, contig: Triticum_aestivum_CS42_TGACv1_scaffold_500646_6BL
CAUAUACUCCCUCCGUCCGAAAAUACUUGUCGGAGAAAUAUAUCAAAAUGGGUGUAUCUAGAACUAAAAUGCAUCUAGAUACAUCCAUUUCUCCGUCAAGUAUAUCAAGACGGAGGGAGUAUUAA